UGUAGAGGAUAAUCAUUACUUCUUUAACCUACCCCUACAGAGAUUUUGUAGGGAAUAGGUGACAUGUUGUAUGGGAAAGCACAUUGUGUAUUGUAAAACUGCAUGCAGUAAUUAUAACGAUUUACUUUUAUUGACCCUGUAGUGCAUGCUAGAUAUUCUUCUCAGGGUUUCAUAUAGUACCUCAUUAAAUCCUCAUGGCGAACUUUGGAAAAGGUACUAUUAUUAUUUUCAUUGUACAUUUCAGUAACUUGAACAAGGUUACAGGACAAGUAGAAUAUGGCAGAGAUGGAAUUUGAACCCAAGCAAUCAAAUUCAAAAGACUAUACUCUAAAGCAAUGGCACUCAGGGAGUGAUCCAUCAGUGCCUGUGCACAACAAGGUCCACAACCUGGCAUUUAGUGGUAGGCCUGGAGCUGCUCUUGGUCAACAGUGUCAGAAGUUGGGAAGAAGAGCUGCAUAUCAAGCAGAAGAGAAUGAGAAGAAACAGGAACCCACUUCUGCAUCUGUCUAUAGCAACAUCUGACUAUAACGACCUUCAAAAGAUAAUGGCUGUUGCUUCAUUUCCAACCCUCCAAAUCUCAAGCAAGUAUAUCUUUGGGCCAACUGUAACCUAUAACUCUAUAGGGAAGAGGUUUCUGAGAACUCUGUGUCACAGCUUAACCAUACAAAGACAAUACAAACCAUCCCGAUGAUGAUGAUGGUUGGUAAUAAUGAAGAAAAUAAUAUGAGUGUUUUCUCAAGGAAGGCUACUUCUUGAUGGCAGUUCUGGGAGACAUAAGAGAAGUUUUAUUUUUACCCAAAUGGUUGGUAAAUAAAUUACUGUGUGACAUGACAGAGUUCAAGUUAUAUGAUAUAGUAGAUUCACAUUAUGCCAAAAACUAUAAGACUCCCAGACACAGCCCAGGAAUUCAUUUUGAGAGCUAUCAUAGGCUUCUGAAUGUGCUACCAUCUAUGCUCUUAAUUUAAACCUUAAUUUGCUGUGUGGACGACAGACUACUCUGAAAACAACCCCAAAUGCUUCAGUGCAGGACUAUGUGUCGUGGAUAAAGUAACAAAAUUACAUAUUCAACCCAUUAUGGCCAUCCUCUUGUAUGGAAGAUGUAGAUUGUUACCAAUAUUUAACUCUUAUAAUUAACUUGAAUAAAUUUCCUUACAAAAUAAAUAUGUACACUUGUAAAUAUUCCAUUAUAGUAUCUUUCUUAGUGUAGAUAUCCUGGAGUAAAAGAAAAAUAUUUACAAAACAAGGUAACAAUUUUUAAAGCAAAAUAUCUAUUAUCAAAUUGUUCUCCAGAUAGGUAUUACCAAUUACACACCCACCAGCCCAGCAGUGUGAAAAUAUCACAUCUCCCACACCCCCAUCCACACCCACGUGGAAAAUUAUUAUUAAAAAUUAAUUUUUACCAACUUGAGAGGGAAAUGGUCCUAUUUUAAUUUUUUCAGGGGUGGAUUCAUAUGUUUACUAGAUAUGUAUAUGUAUCCUUCUAUGAGAUACUUGUUAGGUUAUUUCCCAUUUCUGUGUUGUGGCAUUAAUUUCUUUUUCUUGUUAAUAAUGCUCCCGAAGUUUUAUGUCAGUCUUUUCAUUUGUUUAUAGUAUUUUAUGGCAAAGGAUUUUCUUAAUUAAGUGGUUGUAGUCAAAUCUGCUAGUUUUUAUCUUUGUUUUCAGUUUGCAAUGUCAUGUAUAGACAUGCCUAUCUACCACCGAAAGUAUUUUAAAAAGCAAUGUGUAGGUUUUCUACUUUUGAAGAAUGUGCGUUUUCUACUUUUGAAGUAUGUGCAUUUUCUACCAAAGUCUUUAGUUUGUUUGAUAUGUGCAAUGAAGAAAAAUAUCUAACAAUACCUUAACUUUUCUCGAAUAAUAUUCCAAUUAUCCUAAUAUCCUUUGUGACUUAAACUUCCUAUUCUGACUUAAAAAGACUUUUAUCAUAAGUGCUCUACUUAAUCAUAGCCUUAGCACAUAGUGUGAGUCCUAGAGUCAGACUACAAGGUAAUUACUGUCACUUACAAGCUGUGUGACCUUAAGUGAUUUAAUUUAAUCAUCCUGUGACUAAGUUUUCUAAUCUGUAAAAUUGGAAUAAUGUGAGGAUAAAAUUAUCAUAAGGAUUAGCAAGCUGAAUUAACACGUGUAACGCUCAUAGACGACUGCCUGGCACAUAGUGAAUACUCAGGAAAUAUUACUGGUUGUUGUGUAGCGAGGUGUAUAAUGAAACACUGGUACAAUUUCAGAUUUUGGGUUUUGAGGACCGGGCUUAGAGGGUCACCUUGGGGAGAAUCUUGUAGAGUCCCACAUCUACCCUCUGCCUCAAUGAGAUACGAUCCUCCACUUUGAUGAGAUACUACCACUUGGAGAACUUGCUACAUGUCAAUCCCUGCUAUGGAGAAAGUAGACUUUUAUUCUAAUGCAGUAGACUUGAAAUCAUUUGAAUGUGAGAGAAGAGCUGGAGUCAGAAAGAGAUAAAAAGAGGGCCUGAGACUAUGCCUUAAAUUGUUAAUACAUUUAAGGGAUAGAAGAAAGAAAAGGAGAACCGUUAGAGAAGAUAGAAAGAAAUUGUUUCCUGGAUCAAAAACAGUUCUAGACUGGACUGUGUCUCCCACCCCUUUAAAUUCAUGUGUUGAAGCUCUAGCCCUCAAUGGGACUGUAUUUGGAGAUAAGACCUUUAAAGAUGUAAUUAAAGUUAAACGAGGUCAUAAGAGUAGGGCCCUAAUCCAAUAAAGCCUGUGUUCUUAUAAGAAGAGGAAGAGACUUCAAGGAUGCCUGGAAAGGCCAUGUGAGGACACAGCCAGGCAGGGGCCAUCUGCAAGCCAAGAAGAGAGCCCUCAGGAGAAACCACACUUGCUAACACCUGGAUCUUGGCUCUCCAACCUCCAGAAUUGUAAGAAAUAAAUUUCUGUUGUUCUAGCCACCCAGUCUGUGGGAUUUUGUUAUGGCAGCCCUGGCAGACUAAUACAGGAUCCAAGAGAAGAGAGAGUUUGAAAAAGGUGGGAGUGAUUGAUUGUGAGAAGUGCUGCUGAAAACACAACAAUAAAGUAAGCUGAGAACUUAAGUGUCUGUUGGAUCAGGAAAUAAGAAGUCAUUGUUAAUUUUGACAAGAACAUUUUAAUGGACUGAUAGAGGCAGAUUGCAGCGGAUUGAAGACUAAAGAGCAGGAUUCACAUAGAAAAUAUGGCAAUAUUUCAAAUCAUCAAAAUGACAAUAUGGCUGAGUAGGUGUUGUAUAAUGAAUAAAGAACUUCAUAAUUAAAUGCUUAUUCACAACUUUUAGUCUGAACAUCUUUUGCUGUAGGAGAUCUUGCCAAAUUGAUUCCCUUCGUACUUCCCAGUCCAAAUCUAAAUUAGUCACUGCUAUUACAUAUAUGUUACCUUAUCAUUUUUAAAUUGUAGUCUGUAUCAUAGUUACUUAUACUUCUGCAGUUACUUAAUUUUCUCUCUCACGAGGCAGUAAGCAAUGUGAGAACAAGGAUCAUAUUUGGUUUAUUCCAUUAUCUAUGGUUAGAACAUAGUGGACAUUUAAUAUGCAUUAAAUAAAACUAAAAUUCAUUCAACAAUAUGUCAUUAAAAUCUUUACAUGUCAAAUAUAUCAUUUUACUGACUGGAUUUUAUGUAUACAUAUAAUUUACACCAGCCUUUCCUACUAUAAAUUAUACUAUCUGGAAUUGUUUAGCCAGUUAAGGAUUAAAUUCUGCCAUAAAAUUUAACUUUUUUCUUUUUUCUCCAGAAAAACUGUUUUGACCCUGGGCUUUUUUUGCAAGUAGUUUUCUAAUUUUCUAAAUAAUUUUUUGGCCUGUCAUGGUAGCUCAUGCCUACAAUCCCAGCACUUUGUAAGGCAGAGGUGAGAGGAUGGCUUGAGGCCAGGAGUUUGAGACCAGCCUGGACAACAUAGUGAGACCUAACUCUAUGUAUUAAAAAUACAAAUAAAAACAUUAGCAGGGCAUGGUGGUGCAUGUGAGCAUGAGAGGUCGAGGCUGCAGUGAGCAGUGAUUGCGCCACUGCACUCCAGCCUGUGCAACAGACUGAAACUCUGUCUCGAAAGAAAAAGAAAAAAAAUUUUCAUGGUAAUUGCCUUAUUCAAGUUUCCAGCUCUAGUUGUACAUAGCAUUCUCAUUUUUAAUCUGUGUUAAGUAAUUAUUUCAUAUUCUUAAUUCUAACUUUGAUGGCUUUUUUCCUUUAAAAAAACUUUAUUGAAGUAUAAUUUACAUAUAAUAAAAUGCACCUAUUAAGUUGUACAGUUUGAUGAGCUUUCACAAAUGCCACCACCAUAAACAAGAUAUAGAACACUUCCAUCACUCAGAGAAGUACACUCAUGCCCCUUUGCAGACAAUCACUUCUACCUCUGCCCAAGGCAACCACUGAUAUACUUUGUCAAUUUAGAUGAAGAUCUCAUAUAAAUUGAAUCAUAUGGCACAUAUUCAGCAGAACAUGGUGUCACAGGAAUUCAUCCAUGUAGUUGUAUGUAUCAGUAGUUGAUGCCUUUUUAUUGCUGCAUAGUAUCUUUCCAAUGAAACAUGUUAUUCUUUUCAAAGAAUAAAAAAAUUCUUUAGAAACAAUUGCUUAUCCAUUCACAAGAUGAUAAAUAUUUAGGUUAUCAUCAGGUGCUUGAGUUUUCUAUUGCUAUUUUAACAAAUAAACACAAACUUGAUGGGAUACAAUGACACAAAUUUAUCAUCUUAUAGCUCUGGAGAUAAAAAGUCCAAAAUAAGUUUCAUGGUACUAAAAUCAAGAUGUGGCAGGACUCCAUUUCUUCUGGAUGUUUAGAGGCAGUGUUUUCUUUCUUUUUCCAGCUUCUAGAGGUUCCCACAUUCCUUGGCUCCUAGGCUCCUUUCAUCUUCAAAGCCAACACAUCUUUCUCAUAGCUUCUUACCUCUGAGUUGACAAUGUCUCUUUUUUGCUUGUAGGUAGCCUUGUGAUUACAUUGGGCUUACCCAGAUCCAGAUCAUCUAGGAUAAUCUCUCUACCCAAGAUCUUUAAUGUAAUCACACCUGCAAAGUCCCUUUUGGGAAGAAAGGUAAUAUAUUCAUAGUUUCUGGAGAUUAGGCCUUUCCAGGCAAAGAGGUGGAAAUCUUUGUGGGGCCAUUUUUCUGCCUCCUACACAAGGUAAAGGAUAUUAUGAGUGAAGCUGUGGUGAGCAUGCAUGAACAAGUCUCUUGCGAACAUAGGUUUUUAUUUCAUUUAGUGGUGGACGUGCUGAGCUGGACAGUAAAUAUGUUUAGCUUUAUGAUAAACUGCCAAAUAGUUUUCCAAAAUGGUUGCUCCAUGUUACAUGCUCACUAACACUAUUUGACAUUUCAUUGACUCCUUAUCUUUUUCAAUACUCAAUAUUGUCAAACUUUCAAAUUUUAGCCAUUUAGUGGGUAAGGAGUAGUGUCUCAACUGUGGUUUUAAUUUGUAUUUUCUUGAUGACUAAUAUGUUGAGCAUCUUUUCCCAUGAUAACUGAUUACACAUAUAUAUUUUUGUGUGAAGUAUGUGUUCAACAUUUAUGCCCAUUUUCAUUGUUUUUUGUUGUCUUGUUAAACUGUAAGAAUGUGUGUGUGUGUGUGUGUGUGUGUGUGUGUGUGUAACAAGUGUUUUUUUAGAUAUAUAUUUUUUGAAUAUUGCCUCAAAGUCUUGGGCUUCUCUUUUUCUUAACUGAAUAUCUUUCUAUGAGCAAAACUUUAAACAUUUGGUGUAAUUUUUCAUUUUUUUCUAUUAUUGUGAGUAUAGUGCGUAGCAUACCAUCAUGAUGAUGAUUUUUUCCUAUCCUCCCACAAUCUGUUUUGUAUUUUAGCUUUUACAUUUAGUCCUGUGAUCCAUUCUGAGUCAGUUUUUGUGUACGGCCUGAUGUAAGGGUGAAGGCCCAUUUCUUUUCCAUAGUAAUACCCAGUUGUUUCAGUACUAUUUAUUGAAAUUACUGUAUUUCUCUUAUUGAUAUGCAUUGGCAACUCUGUAGAAAAUUAAUUAUAUUAUUGUACUUAGCAUUUUAAUAAUAUUUUAAAUCCUUUUGUUAAGUAUGUAUUGCUUAUAUUUUCUCUUUAUAUGUUUCUUUUGACUGUCUUUCUAAUACAUACCUAUUUAAUAAACAUGUCAAAA
rnacentral:lncRNA from 10 species